UCCUGAGUUCCUGUUGGGACUGGGCUGAGGGAGAAGUGUUGGAGCUGGCCUGGGUGCAGACCUGUAAUCCCAGUGGCUCUGGAGGCUGAGUUGGGAGGAUCACGACUUCAUAGCCAGCAACAGCUAGGGGCUAUGCAACUCAGUUCCUCAGGAAAUUGACCCGAUAUGGCAGUAGCUCUGCAGCCCAUUGUGAAUUCCACCCCUCCAUGUUCAAGACCUCACAGCAGUCAAAUCCUCAGGGAAUGGAUCAUCCCACUUUGGAUCCAGCAACAUCCUCUGUGUCUAGUUAGCUUCCUUCCUGGGGACCUGGCCACCAUGUUAUUCAAUGUGUUCCAGUUCUGGAAGCUGGACUGGGGCAGGAACUGAACAGGCAAGGGAAGGCCUUAAGAAAUAAGGAGUGGCAUGGAGAUCCUGGCCUGAGCCUUGAAGAUUACAGACUGAAAUAGGCAGUGAAAAGCCUCCAGCCUGAAAAGAAGAAAAAGGCGCUUUGGGCCCUUAGGGCCUCCAUCACAAAGGUCCUCUAGGGUAUGUCCUGUUGAGAGCCGCAGCCGAAACGGCCCCAGCAAACUUCCAGCUGAUUGGCUCCUCUGCAGUAGUGCUCAUUGGGCUGUUUCCCCGCCCUUUCAGACCACGGAGCUGCUCAUUUGGGGAACUCUUUUGGCUCCACCAACACGACCCAGCCAAUCUGCCUCAAGAGCAGGACCUAAGGGUUCCAGUUGAGGUGCUCAAAUUCCCCAAAGAGCCCGUGGUGGCAGUUGGGCUCU